rnacentral:rRNA from 1 species
UACGUAGGUGGCAAGCGUUGUCCGGAAUUAUUGGGCGUAAAGCGCGCGCAGGCGGCCUCUUAAGUCUGAUGUGAAAGCCCCCCGGCUCAACCGGGGAGGGCCAUUGGAAACUGGGAGGCUUGAGUAUAGGAGAGAAGAGUGGAAUUCCACGUGUAGCGGUGAAAUGCGUAGAGAUGUGGAGGAACACCAGUGGCGAAGGCGACUCUUUGGCCUAUAACUGACGCUGGGGCGCGAAAGCGUGGGGAGCAAACAGG